rnacentral:rRNA from 1 species
AGUGUACCCGCGGCAAGACGGAAAGACCCCGUGAACCUUUACUAUAGCUUGACACUGAACAUUGAGCCUUGAUGUGUAGGAUAGGUGGGAGGCUUUGAAGUGUGGACGCCAGUCUGCAUGGAGCCGACCUUGAAAUACCACCCUUUAAUGUUUGAUGUUCUAACGUGGACCCGUAAUCCGGGUUGCGGACAGUGUCUGGUGGGUAGUUUGACUGGGGCGGUCUCCUCCUAAAGAGUAACGGAGGAGCACGAAGGUUGGCUAAUCCUGGUCGGACAUCAGGAGGUUAGUGCAAUGGCAUAAGCCAGCUUGACUGCGAGCGUGACGGCGCGAGCAGGUGCGAAAGCAGGUCAUAGUGAUCCGGUGGUUCUGAAUGGAAGGGCCAUCGCUCAACGGAUAAAAGGUACUCCGGGGAUAACAGGCUGAUACCGCCCAAGAGUUCAUAUCGACGGCGGUGUUUGGCACCUCGAUGUCGGCUCAUCACAUCCUGGGGCUGAAGUAGGUCCCAAGGGUAUGGCUGUUCGCCAUUUAAAGUGGUACGCGAGCUGGGUUUAGAACGUCGUGAGACAGUUCGGUCCCUA